AGUACAACUGCCCCACAGGGUUUCCAACGAGCGCACCUGGUGGAUUCAAACUGCCAACCUUUUGGUUAGCAGCUGAACUCUUAACCACUACGCCACCAGGGUUUCCUGAGUAUUGUACAGACUUUCAUAAUUCCGUAUCUCUUCUAUAGGUCUCUCUGCCUGGAAAACUCACAUUUCAAGGUCAAAUGAAAUAGCAUCUCCUCCUUGCUGCCUUCCGUGAGUCCUUCCAUUUCUCAGCCAGAUCAUUCUGCCUAAGAGAAAGCCAGACAGCCUGUUACGGAAUGAAACCAGCAAACUUGGCAUUGUGGGCAUCGGACUGUAAUCAGCAGUGCUUCUGACCACAGUAUCCCCCCCUCAACAGGGCCCUUCUCCUGGACGUGGUUAACAGCAGCCUGGGAGUCUGAAAGAGCCAAGGAGGCUCCUCACCUACCGUCCUCAGUGCCCCAGAGUGACCAGGGUCCUAAAAAGACAGCUUCUGUCCAAAUAUUUCCUUGCCAAACUGCAAACGGAUACACUUAAAUCACAGACUAUUGGAAUUACUUACAAUUAAUUGCUUCCAAUCAGAAGAGGAUGCCUUUGCUGACCUGAUUACCAUCAUGUACGAACCACAAGAUAUGGGUAAAGGCAAAACAAGAGAUAAGGUUUUUUAAUUAUGGCCAGCUGAAGUAGGACACAUGAUUCUUCACAAAAUGGCACUCAGCUCUUCUGACAAGGGAACGACAGCAUAUUAGGGUGAGUAGAAGGCUUUUCUGGGGCUUCAUGCAAUACUGUAGGUUCUGUUUGUUCCCCUUAAAACUCUGGCACCGUUUAUCUGACAUUGACUUCGAUUUCUUCACAUUUCUGAAAAUGAUGAGAUUUUGUGUUAUCAACCACCUCUGCUGCAAGGAAUCCCCGUAUGAAUGCAGGAGAGUGCUGUGAAAGUCACUCAUGGGGACAAACUUCCUUCAGCACGCAAUUGUGAAAUCUUUAUUGGGAGAAGCUUUUAGUCAGAGGGAAGAACAAAAUUAAUGACUUCCCUGCAUCCAUGAAUCUAAGGAGUCAUCUUAUCUCCCGGGAAGUAGAUCUAACACAGUAGAAACAGCUUUGAAAAUAACUCAGAAAAUUUUUUUGUUAUGAAACUUCCCUAAGUUUUCACUCCGUAUUUAACUCCUUGUCCUGUGGGCUCCCAUACCACCAUGUACUUGCUUUGCAGAAUCACACUUUGACCCUGUAAAGAUUUAUUUCAUAAGUCUGUCUUCCUUAUUAAACUGUCAUUUUUUCAAGUUGCUGUUGUAAAUUUGAUCCCAUAUAGAUAGAUCUUAAAAGAGUUAAGCUACUGUUUGGUUUUAAGAAGACUUCAGGGGAUAUGUUUGGUUUAAAGUUUAAAGAUUAUCUCAGGGCAAUAGUUUCAGGGGUUCAUUCAACCUCCAUGGCUCCAUAAAUUCCGGAUUCCAUGAGAAUUUGAAAUUAUAUUCUGCAUUUCCCCCCUUUUAAUCAAGAUUCUUCUAUAGAAUCUUUGAUACAAAUAUUCAGUAAUGGUAGACAGGCACCACCAGCUCUUCUGGUCUCAUGGCAAAGGAGGCAGUUAGUUGUUCCUGGAAGUAAUUAGCCACACAUUCCAUUUGUUCCUUCUACUCCUACACCUCCCCUGUUGCUCCAGGCUGAUAGAGACCAAUUGUUGUCCCUUGAAUGGCCUCUUGCAAGCUUUUAAGACCUGGGGCACUAUUCAAGGAACUAGGAAGUAGAAGAAAAGCACCAAACAUGUUAUUAGACCAAUUAACUGAGAUGUCCCAUGAAACCAUGACCUUAACCUUCCAAACCAAUGAACCAAAUCCCAUGAGGUGUUUGGUUGUACAUCAUUAGCCUCAUCAGCUACUCAAUUUUUUUCUGGCACCGUUUUCAGUAUAUCUAUCACACAACUUUGGCCAAUUCAACUUUUUACUCGAAAGAUUA